rnacentral:lncRNA from 1 species
UAAGGAAGAUAAAAAGCAGAUGGAAUAGCAAUAACAACAACUAAAGGACAGAAAAACCUAGCAACCACAAGGCAAGAGCAAGAUAAAAAUAAGAAUAAUCAAAGAUAAACGCACGAAUUCCUAAACACCUUCCUCCUCUUCUCUCAGAGUUCCAAUGCCUGAAUAAGAAAAUAACAGACAUCCCAGAAGAAUAUUGAACAAUGCAUACAAAUAAGUACAUCGCUGAAGAAGCAAACUGCCCGAUAAAGUCUUCAAUCUCUCUGGUUAACAGAUGGAUACAGCUAUUUGGAUAAUGCCUCACUUUAAUGAAGUUCCUUAAUUAAACUAGAUACUCUGAAAAAACACAGUGUUUUGCAGGUGGUGACACAUGCAUCAACAUGUUAAAAAAUUCCCUGGUCAUUGUCAUUGGUUUCUUUGAGCUCUGGCUUGAGAAAAAAGGAGAACAUAGUUCUACGGAUGGAGGAUGAUUCUAUUUACAGAAAAAUAACAUUUUCACGGAUUUUGGAGAGUAGAAUGUAGACAUCUUUGAGGACCAUUCUUCUGCCUACCAUGCCAUGUAACUCUGAUUUGUAGCCACGGAUGGAAGACAAUAUAAAGCAUUACUUAUUGCCACUUAAAUUGGACUCAGACAAAUAAAAUAAAAAUGAUCUGGUGACAUCAGGAGAAAGACAUAACUUUUAUACGCUUUAUAAAUUGCUCAUUAGUAAUA